GGAAACGCCCGGUUACAUUCCGAACCCGGAAGCUAAGCCUUACAGCGCCGAUGGUACUGCAGGGGGGACCCUGUGGGAGAGUAGGACACCGCCGAAC
rnacentral:rRNA from 1 species